GGAGGCAGAGCUAUUCUUUUCCCAUUGAGUUCUCAGGGGCUUCUCAGAAUGCAGGCAUCGCCCCCUAGCGUGCAGAACUUUUAAUGUUAUCACAUUAAUUCUAAGCAGUCAUUCCAAGAGGAGGGAAGAGACUGCUCCAGGGAGUCAGAAGUCUAUGAAUUCAGAGAUCUUUUAAACAUCAGGGCAGAUGUGAGUUCACAGAAGCUACCAUGACUCCUUCUUUCCAACUCAGAGGUUGGAAGGCUUGGAAAUCUCUUUUUAUACAGGGGAAAGAAGAAUUUUGGAGCAAAUCCUGAAUACAGGACCAGGAUUUGCUGGCCUUCAAUGGAGUCCCAGGAGGCUCUGAUCUCCCACCAUCAGCAAAAAAAGAUUGGUGCCUGGAGUACUGUAGAAAUUUACCAUUUUCCAAAAGACAAUUGUGCUUGCAGGCCUGCAUUAAGUCCUGAAAAUUUUACUGGCGUGUUACCAGGAUCUGUAUAAAAUCGUCCUGCCUCUGAGUCCAGAGACAAGCACACCAUGUUCUCUGAGACCUCAUCAUCAGUCAUUAACCUUGUACUUACCCUCAGUUGUUUUCCCUUCUCCAAUAAAUUUCCCAGCAGAAAACAA